UACGAAGGGGGCGAGCGUUGUUCGGAAUUACUGGGCGUAAAGGGCGCGUAGGCGGUGCUCUAAGUCGGAUGUGAAAACUCUGGGCUCAACCCAGAGCCUGCAUCCGAAACUGGAGUGCUAGAGUUCUGGAGGGGGUAGCGGAAUUCCUGGUGUAGCGGUGAAAUGCGUAGAUAUCAGGAGGAAUACCCGUGGCGAAGGCGGCUUCCUGGGGCACCACUGACGCUGAGAAGCGAAAGCUAGGGGAGCAAACGGG
rnacentral:rRNA from 1 species